rnacentral:rRNA from 1 species
UACGUAGGGUGCGAGCGUUAAUCGGAAUUACUGGGCGUAAAGCGUGCGCAGGCGGUGAUGUAAGACAGAUGUGAAAUCCCCGGGCUCAACCUGGGAACUGCAUUUGUGACUGCAUCGCUGGAGUGUGGCAGAGGAGACUGGAAUUCCUGGUGUAGCAGUGAAAUGCGUAGAUAUCAGGAGGAAUACCGAUGGCGAAGGCAGGUCUCUGGGCUGACACUGACGCUCAUGCACGAAAGCGUGGGGAGCAAACAGG